GUGACGAGCCCACAACAUGCAUUUGUAUUGGAACCCUGGCUGUGUGAAGGCAGAACGAGUCAGCGUUUCCUAUUGUGGUCGCCGUUAAAGCUUCGAGGCAAGACGCAGAAUUGAACAUGGAAAGACCCAGCGUGAGUGUGAAACGGCCUGGAUGCUUGCAACAAGAUUGGACGGUUACAUACGCUUUUUAUAAAGGCAGCAUAAGAUCUGCGAAUGCCUACGUGAACGGGUAAGUAUCAACAUUGAGAAUUC